rnacentral:rRNA from 1 species
UACGAGGGGGGCGAGCGUUGUUCGGAAUUAUUGGGCGUAAAGGGUGCGUAGGCGGUUCCGCAAGUCCUGUGUGAAAUCUUCGGGCUCAACUCGAAGUCUGCACGGGAAACUGCGGGGCUUGAGUGUGGGAGAGGUGAGUGGAAUUCCCGGUGUAGCGGUGAAAUGCGUAGAUAUCGGGGAGGAACACCUGUGGCGAAAGCGGCUCACUGGACCAUAACUGACGCUGAUGCACGAAAGCUGGGGGGAGCAAACAGG